GUUGCAGCUGCCUGGCCAGCCCGAGAGACAGCGGAGAUUCAUUACCCGCCGACACAAUGACCAUUGAUGGCCCCGUGGCGUUAUUCAAAUCCAGUACCAAUUGCAGCCGAGCCCCUUUCUCCGCGCCAGGCCCGUAUUGUUGGAGCGGCCCACUAAAAGCCCGCCCCGGCCCCGAGCCGCCAGAGGCGCCCGCUCGGGUUCAGCCUUGCGCCUCGGCAGCCCGCCGGCUCCCAGUCCGGCUCCACGGGCGCUGCAGGUGACCCGGCGGCGCAUUCCAGCACUCCCCGCCGCCCGGGCCACCGCCGCCACCGCCACCGCAGGCGCCCCGGCCGCGACUCAGCCACAGGAAAGCGGAGAGCGCCCGAGCCGGUGCGUGCGCGGGGCUGGGCGGGGGCGGGGGACCCACGAAUCCAGCAGCCCGGACCCCGGGCUCGGAAACGCGACCCGGCCUGGGGCUCCUGCCUUCCGGAUUCCCGGAGAUCCCAGGCUGGGGGCAGGGAGAGGGGAGUCGGGGUUCCCCAGGCCAGACAGAGGAGAUUCCCCCUCGACCUGGGGCGGCGCUGAGACCCAACGCGGGCCACUCUGCGGACUCCGGGCCGCGAUCGAAGGAGCCACGCCAGGGGCGAUGGGGAUCCCCGCACAGGGUCAGGAUCCGCGUGCUUGCUAGUCCACCUUACCGCCGGAUGGGCAGCCGCUGCUGAGCGCCUGCUAGGUGGUCCGACGCGCAGCUCCGAGCUGUCCUGGACUGGCGCUUUUUAGGAGCGAAGGGGAACCCCGCAGGAGACCAGGGCCCUGAACUCAGGGGCUUCGCCACUGAUUGUCCAAACGCAAUUCUUGUACGAGUCUGCGGCCAACCGAGAAUUGUGGCUGGACAUCUGUGGCUGAGCUCCGGGCGCAACAGGGGCGGGGGCCCCAGGGACAGGGCUCAGCGCGGGCGAGACCUCUCGGGGCGGCGGCUGGCUGGCCCCAGCGCGAGGAUCGCGGUCCCGGCCCGCGCGCACAGAGACGCCGGUCCCUGCCACCAGCGCCGCCAUCCGCAUCCUCGUCCUUCUUCCUUCUCUGCGGGUGACCAGUCCCGGCCGGCAGGGUCCUCCAGUCGAUCGCGUCGUUUUUCCUCCUUUCAAAUUUCGGCCGGAACGAAGCCGGCACGCAGCGGCGGGGCCGAAUGUGGUCCGCCCUCAGCCCAAGCCGCAUGAAGUCGGGGGUGAAAGAAGAGGCCGGCCGAAUGCGCCCGCUAACUCGUUUCGCAGUUGUUCUAACUUAUCACCCCAAUACUCCCUACCUAAACAAAACAAAUCCUCAACCAACCCCUAAAUCCCAAACAAACCAACCCCUCCCGCAAGCCCCUCCGGACGGACCGAUGGGCUGAGCCUCCUCCAGCCGCUGCCAGGGUCCGACGGGCAAGCGUCGCCAACGAUGCGCUCCAGCCCGGCAAUCUCCUCGGCUUUGGAAAUAGAAUUUGGAAAAACGAAUCCUUUCAUUAAAGAAAAAUCUUCGGAGAUA
rnacentral:lncRNA from 1 species